AACGAACGCUGGCGGCAGGCUUAACACAUGCAAGUCGAACGGGCAUAGCAAUAUGUCAGUGGCAGACGGGUGAGUAACACGUGGGAAUAUCCCCUUCAGUUCGGAAUAACGUUGGGAAACUAACGCUAAUACCGGAUACGUCCGUGAGGAGAAAGAUUUAUCGCUGAAGGAUUAGCCCGCGUCUGAUUAGCUAGUUGGUGAGGUAAUGGCUCACCAAGGCGACGAUCAGUAGCUGGUCUGAGAGGAUGAUCAGCCACAUUGGGACUGAGACACGGCCCAAACUCCUACGGGAGGCAGCAGUGGGGAAUAUUGGACAAUGGGCGCAAGCCUGAUCCAGCCAUGCCGCGUGAGUGAUGAAGGCCUUCGGGUUGUAAAGCUCUUUUGUCCGGGAAGAUAAUGACUGUACCGGAAGAAUAAGCCCCGGCAAACUUCGUGCCAGCCGCCGCAGUAA
rnacentral:rRNA from 1 species